rnacentral:misc_RNA from 1 species
GGUAUUUUUGUGGGCAUCGAUGAGCAGCCGGAAUAAGAAGAGCGAAUCGGAGGAGGUGGAAGAGCUGCUCCGUGCGGCAGAGGAUGACGUGUCCCUCAAGCUGAGUCUGAAUUCUCAUAUGGCUCGUGGUUCUUCCACCCAAUUCAUCGAUCCAGAUCUCGAUCAACGUUUUCAAGCCCUCAGAUCCAAGCAAACUCCCCCCAGAAAACCUAAGGGUUUAGACUUAGACAAUCAAGCUACCUCAACAACGGACGAGUCAGAUGACUUGCUUACCAGAUUUGCAGCUCUCAAAAGCUCACUUCCCGCUUAUUCUUCGGCAUCAUCAUCUGCUAAGCAACACGUAGUGGUGGAAGAUGAAGAGGAUCACGAUGAUGAAGUUGAAAAGGUGAUUAAGUGGGCCAUUGAUGCUGCUAGGCUUGAUCCUUCACCUCCCUCCGGGACUGAUGACGAUGAUGAUAGCGAUGACAACACUACUGAUGAGGAGGACGAUGGUGAAAAUAGUGAUGAUGAUUUCAACCGCGGCCAUAGAAAAGCUAAGCGGAAAUGAUUUAUGAGUGAGUGUAUUGUGUAUUUUUUCUUUUCGUGAAUUGAGAUCUUUGAUUGGAAAAAUAGGUAUUUUCAAUGUAACUUCUAGUACAUAAAUAACUGCCUCUACCUUGUAUAAGUUAGCUAGUUCCAGUGCUUU